AACAAGCUCCCCAAGUGAUUCUGGUACAGGUGGUCCAAGGACCACACUGUGAGAAAUGCAGCUCUGGAACGUGCCGUGAACUCUGCUAACUACAGAAGCCUGCCCGCUCAUUGAUUCCUUCAGCAAACAGCUAUCAUAAACAGUGCUGCUGUGAUCAUUCUUGUUCAGGCUUCCUGGUGCACAUGAGAAAAAGUUUCUCUAGAGGAAAACUGCUUGGCCAUAAGGAACACCAAUUUUGACAGUGGCCCGGAAUGAGAGUGCCUUUUUGGAAGCCUUGGCGUCCAGCAGAGAAAUGCCAGCACAUCUCUGGAGAACAAAACAAAACAAAACAAAAUCAGGAUUGGAUGCACUGAAGAGCUUAAGAAGAGCAAUUUAAUUUUACCCACAUCACCCCUCCCCAAGGUAGCACACCUCAGUGCAAAGAAAGACCUUCUCUGCCGGCGAUUUCACCCACCAGGGAAAGUGAGAGCAUGUGAGCGAGCUCCUGGCUUUCCCAGCUGUGCCGGAGGCUGCCAAAGAGACCCACUCCUUCCUGGCCCCGCCAGAAUACUGAGGGGUGCCGCAUGAUGGGGGAGGAGACGGACUCUGGAAGAACAGCAGCCUGGGCUCUCUGAGGGCAUCAAAGAAACGCAGAUCCUGCUGACUGCUUCUCCAGCUCCAUCAGGAAGCCUGCCCACAAGUCACUGGGGACGUCUUGCCUGCAGAUCCAUACAGAUACGGUAGAAAGGGCAACAUCUUUUACCCAAAUGGAAAAAACACUGGACUUCAGUCUGAAAACAAAGGGUUGAUUCUGACCUAAGGCAAGCCAGCGACGACACCUGUGAAAUGAGAACUAACUAUUUUCCUAUAGGAAAGGAAUUUUCCUCUUUAUUUCAACACAGCAGAGCAGAAUGCUUCUAGAUCAAU
rnacentral:lncRNA from 1 species